rnacentral:rRNA from 1 species
UAAUAAUAUGGGAAGUGCACUUCAUUGUGGCUCCCUAUUAUAUUUCACAUUAUGGGAAGUGCACUUCAUUGUGGCUCCCUAUUAUAUUUCACAUUACCC